GUUUAGUGUUGUUAUUUGACUUGGAAAUAUCCCAAUGGGCUGAUCUACUCUGAAAUACAUGUCAAGAUUCACUUGAAUAUCCCAGUCAACUCAUACCUUUAAUUUACUUUUAGACUUGGAGUUUGUGUAUAGUAAGUACUCAGUCAAUCGCCAUUGAAUGAAGGGGGUGAAUGAAAUCACUCGUAAGGAAAACGCAUGCUGUAAAAACCAAAGCAUCGCAUCAUGUAAAUUCCCAACAUCUGCUGACCCAUCAGAAGAAGGAUGACAGAGAAGUAGAAUGGUUCUUAAAUAUUAACAGAUCCAGCCAUUGGGAUUGAGGAACUUGGGAAGGAAAACAGUUUCAACAAUGAAUAGGUCACCCAUCAUGACUGACUACAGAUGACUUGCCAUUUCAUUUACAAAGGGGUGUCCUACAAAGUAAAAAAAAAAAGAGAGAGAGACCAUCUCAUCCUAUGUCCUGCAUUCAUGCCAGCUAGCCAACCCCUCACUAAGGUGGUUUCUUCAAACACCCUUCAAAGUCGCUCUUGAAGUUUUUUGGAUUUCAAAGCUUCCAAGUCUUAGAGGUAAAAUGACUGACACGGCAUUUGUUAGUCCACAGUUGGUUAAAGAAAAUCCACCUCUUACUGUCAUUAGCACAUACUAAGUUGGAGACACAAACGUACCCUAGUAGAGAAAUGGGCUAGAGCUUCAUAUAGAUAAUUCACCAAAGAGAUGCAAAGAACCAAAGAAACGUGACAAAGAUGUCUGUCCUUACCAUGAAUCAUACAAAUGCAAAAUAAAAUGAUAUUUUUGCC
rnacentral:lncRNA from 1 species